GACGAACGCUGGCGGCGUGCUUCAUACAUGCAAGUCGAACGAGAAGCUCACUUCGGUGAGUGGAAAGUGGCGGACGGGUGAGUAAUGUGUAGAGAAUCUGCCCUUGAGUGGGGGACAACAGCUGGAAACGGUUGCUAAUACCCCAUAUGAGAUAUUUUGCAAUAAGUAUCUUGAAAACUCCGGUGCUCAAGGAUGAGUCUGCAUCUGAUUAGCUAGUUGGGGGUGUAAUGGACCACCAAGGCGACGAUCAGUAGCUGGUUUGAGAGGAUGAUCAGCCACAAUGGGACUGAGACACGGCCCAUACUCCUACGGGAGGCAGCAGUAGGGAAUUUUGCGCAAUGGGCGAAAGCCUGACGCAGCAACGCCGCGUGAUUGAUAAAGCCCUUCGGGGUGUAAAGAUCUGUCAGUGGGGACGAACAAUGACGGUACCCACAGAGGAAGCACCGGCUAACUCCGUGCCAGCAGCCGCGGUAAUACGGAGGGUGCGAGCGUUGUCCGGAAUCAUUGGGCGUAAAGAGUUCGUAGGUGGCCUGUUAAGUCUGGUGUUAAAUGCAGAUGCUCAACAUCUGUUCGGCACUGGAUACUGGCAAGCUUGAAUGCGGUAGAGGUAAAGGGAAUUCCUGGUGUAGCGGUGAAAUGCGUAGAUAUCAGGAGGAACAUCGGUGGCGUAAGCGCUUUACUGGGCCGUAAUUGACACUGAGGAACGAAAGCCAGGGUAGC
rnacentral:rRNA from 1 species